AUUGAACGCUGGCGGCAGGCCUAACACAUGCAAGUCGCGCGAGCGGCGGACGGGUGAGUCAUGUAUGGGGACUGCCCGAUAGAGGGGGAUUACUACUGGAAACGGUGGCUAAUACCGCCUACUGUCGGAUAACCCAUAUGGGAUUAGCUAGUAGGUAAGGUAAUGGCUUACCUAGGCGACGAUCCCUAGCUGGUCUGAGAGGAUGAGCAGCAACAAUGGGACUGAGACAAGGCCCAGAGGCCGACGGAGGCAGCAGUGGGGAAUAUUGCACAAUGGGGGCAAGCCGGAAGCAGCCAUGCAGCGAGUAUGAAGAAGGCCAUAGGGUUGGAAAGUAAUUUCAGUCGGGAGGCGUUACCGACAGAAGAAGCACCGGCUAACUCCGUGCCAGCAGCCGCGGUAAUAC
rnacentral:rRNA from 1 species